AUUGAACGCUGGCGGCAUGCUUUACACAUGCAAGUCGAACGGUAACAGGCCGCAAGGUGCUGACGAGUGGCGAACGGGUGAGUAAUGCAUCGGAACGUGCCCAGUCGUGGGGGAUAACGCAGCGAAAGCUGCGCUAAUACCGCAUACGAUCUAUGGAUGAAAGCGGGGGACCGUAAGGCCUCGCGCGAUUGGAGCGGCCGAUGUCAGAUUAGGUAGUUGGUGGGGGAAAGGCUCACCAAGCCGACGAUCUGUAGCUGGUCUGAGAGGACGACCAGCCACACCGGGACUGAGACACGGCCCAGACUCCUACGGGAGGCAGCAGUGGGGAAUUUUGGACAAUGGGGGCAACCCUGAUCCAGCAAUGCCGCGUGCAGGAAGAAGGCCUUCGGGUUGUAAACUGCUUUUGUACGGAACGAAACGGCUCUGGUUAAUACCCGGGGCUAAUGACGGUACCGUAAGAAUAAGCACCGGCUAACUACGUGCCAGCCGCCGCCGUAAUAC
rnacentral:rRNA from 1 species